rnacentral:rRNA from 1 species
CCUACGGGAGGCAGCAGUGAGGAAUAUUGGUCAAUGGCCGGAAGGCUGAACCAGCCAUGCCGCGUGAAGGAUGACUGCCCUACGGGUUGUAAACUUCUUUUAUAAAGGAAUAAAGUGAGGCACGUGUGCCUUUUUGUAUGUACUUUAUGAAUAAGGAUCGGCUAACUCCGUGCCAGCAGCCGCGGUAAUACGGAGGAUCCGAGCGUUAUCCGGAUUUAUUGGGUUUAAAGGGAGCGUAGAUGGGUUGUUAAGUCAGUUGUGAAAGUUUGCGGCUCAACCGUAAAAUUGCAAUUGAUACUGGCAGCCUUGAGUACAGUUGAGGUAGGCGGAAUUCGUGGUGUAGCGGUGAAAUGCUUAGAUAUCACGAAGAACUCCGAUUGCGAAGGCAGCUUACUAAACUGCCACUGACAUUGAUGCUCGAAAGUGUGGGUAUCAAACAGGAUUAGAUACCCCUGUAGUC